rnacentral:lncRNA from 1 species
GGGCAGGCUCAGGAAGAGCCUUUUUUGGGCUUGUCUGGGCUUGUUCAGGCCUGAGCCUGCCUUUGUCUUUGCCAUCACAGGGAUCCCAGAGGAUCGAAGAGGAUCUGCCUCUGCCAUUUGCAGCUGCUUUGCUGCCCAGACCUCCUCGAGAGACCCCGGCCAUCUCCCAAACCAGCCUUUCUGACCUUCUCUGUCUCGUCAGCCCCCUUCAAGCCCUUCAUACACAAAUGCACAUCGGAGUUGGGGAUACUGAGGAGUGUCUAUUUUUUUGAGGGAUCCUAAAAAGCAGUAGCAGCCAGAAAAGCAGCUCUGUGCUCCCCCUGUCCCAAUGUGCUGCAGCCGUACCAGGAAAGCUGAGGAUGCUCCUUAGCAGCUGGAGUCCAGUGAGCAGUAAGUGAUUUGAUUCUGGGGAGUGAGUUGUUUGACUUCUGUGUUCAGGAGACAAGGUAAAUUAAUUUGUGUGGUAUUAGCCACUGUGGUUCAUUGUCUCGUCUAGCAUUUAUAUAGGGGAACACGGAAGCUGAAUGCUUAAUUCUUUGCAAGGAGCUGGCAGCUCCUGCUACACUUAGCACAAACUUGUCCUCUCCAUCCUAUUUCCAGUGUUGUUGCCUGGCUCAACAUGGUGCCUCCACAUUCAUUUUGUAAUGCAAAGGAUAAAUAAUGCAGCUCGAAUGCUGUGUCACCUGAUGCUCACGUGGGG